UACGUAGGGUGCGAGCGUUCAUCGGAAUUACUGGGCGUAAAGCGUGCGCAGGCGGUUCGUUAUGUCCGAUGUGAAAGCCCCGAGCUCAACUUGGGAAUGGCAUUGGAAACUGGCGGGCUGGAGUGUGGCAGAGGGGGGUGGAAUUCCACGUGUAGCAGUGAAAUGCGUAGAGAUGUGGAGGAACACCGAUGGCGAAGGCAGCCCCCUGGGCCAACACUGACGCUCAGGCACGAAAGCGUGGGGAGCAAACAGG
rnacentral:rRNA from 1 species